rnacentral:rRNA from 1 species
UGGCGGACGGGUGAGUAACGCGUGGGAAUCUGCCUUGGGGUUCGGAAUAACUCCCCGAAAGGGGUGCUAAUACCGGAUGAUGUCGAAAGACCAAAGAUUUAUCGCCCUGAGAUGAGCCCGCGUAGGAUUAGCUAGUUGGUGUGGUAAAGGCGCACCAAGGCGACGAUCCUUAGCUGGUCUGAGAGGAUGAUCAGCCACACUGGGACUGAGACGCGGCCCAGACUCCUACGGGAGGCAGCAGUGGGGAAUAUUGGACAAUGGGCGAAAGCCUGAUCCAGCAAUGCCGCGUGAGUGAUGAAGGCCUUAGGGUUGUAAAGCUCUUUUACCCGGGAAGAUAAUGACUGUACCGGGAGAAUAAGCUCCGGCUAACUCCGUGCCAGCAGCCGCGGUAAU